rnacentral:misc_RNA from 1 species
CCUACUGGAUGAGGAGAAGAAGGGGAAACGAUGUAGUACACCAAGGCCUUUGUUCCAGUCAGAUUUGGAAAAAGUUCUUGCAACAUCCACUAAGACAAGGAUUGCUGCAAAUGAGUACACUAGGUCAAGCUCACAAUCACUUGGAUGGUCUAGGCAGUCGGAUGAUUAUCAGGUUCAAGCCACAAUCAAUGAACUCUCUAAGCUUGUAGUUUCCCAAAUAUUGAACCUUCAAUCAGAUGCCCUGGACCAUUGAAAUCAUUGUCUUCAGUAAUUCACUUCAAAUGAUCUGUUGUUUCAUAAGAUUAUCCCACAGGCAUUUUAUUCUAUUUAUUUAGUGCUUUUGAGUAUGAUCCCAUGUAGAGUAUGUUAUCUGUGUAAUCAACAUGUUAAGCUAUUGAUUUUUAGGGCACUUGACAUACACUUUUGAAUGUCUUAGGAUUCCAUAUUUGGACGUAGCAGAAUGCUGGCUUGCUUUGCUGCAACAUGGUUACUGCACCUACAGAACUUCCCUCUUGUUAAUAGGGAUUCAAUUGCAAGAAUAGGAACCAGUUAUUCUGAUUUUGCUUAUGGCUAUUGGAGGGGUUUAGAAUUUCAACAUUUUGAUAUAGCA